rnacentral:rRNA from 1 species
UACGAAGGGGGCUAGCGUUGUUCGGAAUUACUGGGCGUAAAGCGCACGUAGGCGGCCUUCUAAGUCGAACGUGAAAUCCCCGGGCUCAACCCGGGAACUGCGUCCGAUACUGGAAGGCUUGAAUCCGGGAGAGGGAUGCGGAAUUCCAGGUGUAGCGGUGAAAUGCGUAGAUAUCUGGAGGAACACCGGUGGCGAAGGCGGCAUCCUGGACCGGCAUUGACGCUGAGGCGCGAAAGCCAGGGGAGCAAACGGG